rnacentral:pre_miRNA from 1 species
CUGGCUGGGCCAACGGCUGCAACACAGGACAUGGGUCCUGCCUCUCCUCCCCGCUCGUGUCUUGUGUUGCAGCCAGUGGAGCUGC